rnacentral:rRNA from 1 species
GAUGAACGCUGGCGGCGUGCUUAACACAUGCAAGUCGAACGAUGAAGCCCAGCUUGCUGGGUGGAUUAGUGGCGAACGGGUGAGUAACACGUGAGUAACCUGCCCUUAACUCUGGGAUAAGCCUGGGAAACUGUGUCUAAUACCGGAUAGGAGCGUCCACCGCAUGGUGGGUGUUGGAAAGAUUUAUCGGUUUUGGAUGGACUCGCGGCCUAUCAGCUUGUUGGUGAGGUAAUGGCUCACCAAGGCGACGACGGGUAGCCGGCCUGAGAGGGUGACCGGCCACACUGGGACUGAGACACGGCCCAGACUCCUACGGGAGGCAGCAGUGGGGAAUAUUGCACAAUGGGCGCAAGCCUGAUGCAGCGACGCCGCGUGAGGGAUGACGGCCUUCGGGUUGUAAACCUCUUUCAGUAGGGAAGAAGCGAAAGUGACGGUACCUGCAGAAGAAGCACCGGCUAACUACGUG